rnacentral:rRNA from 1 species
AACGAACGCUGGCGGCAUGCCUAACACAUGCAAGUCGAACGAGACCUUCGGGUCUAGUGGCGCACGGGUGCGUAACGCGUGGGAACCUGCCCUUAGGUUCGGAAUAACUCCCCGAAAGGGGUGCUAAUACCGGAUAAUGUCUUCGGACCAAAGAUUUAUCGCCUUUGGAUGGGCCCGCGUUGGAUUAGCUAGUUGGUAGGGUAAAAGCCUACCAAGGCGACGAUCCAUAGCUGGUCUGAGAGGAUGAUCAGCCACACUGGGACUGAGACACGGCCCAGACUCCUAGGGGAGGCAGCAGGGGGGAAUAUUGGAAAAGGGGCGAAAGCCUGAUCCAGCAAUGCCGGGUGAGUGAGGAAGGCCUUAGGGUUGUAAAGCUCUUUUCCCCGGGAUGAUAAUGACAGUACCGGGAGAAUAAGCCCCGGCUAACUCCGU